GAUUAGAUAUCUUAAUGGUAAAGUAUUGGGCUGCAAACCUAAUUAUGAGCGUUCGAUUCGCUCUCUAAUCU
rnacentral:tRNA from 2 species